rnacentral:lncRNA from 1 species
CUACUUGGUCGCUAAUGGAAUAUUAAAGAAUAAUAGAUCUGACAAUUCUAUUGAAACUCUACAAAAGAACCUUUUAAAAUUAACAAACGAAGGCCAAAACUCUUUUUUUUAACUUAUAAAAGAGAGAACUUCGAAUUAGACGGCCGAUUUGCUUAACAAGCUGCUCUAUUUGUUAGUUAUGCCUGCGUCAACAAGAAAUUAUCUUUUUAUGUUAUGUGAAUCUUGUUCAGGCGGUUUGAAAAAAAAGAAACUGGAAAGAAUCGCAUUUCCUUACUACUAUAUACGAGGGCCACCAAUUAUUACAAGGACCUUACUACUUUCUAGUUUAUCGUUUGACCCUUCAUUCUUACUU